GCACAAGCAGCUGGGGUGGUGACUGAGCUAUUUCUCUCUUGUCUGUUUAUUAAGCAACAAUGUAGCAAGUGGUUCCUGAGCACCUGCUGUGUGUCUGUGCCGAGAGCCAGCCAGGAACUUGAUGACGGCGAGACAGCGGGGUCUGCGGUCCUCACAGAGCUCACCUCUGCUCAGACCACUUUCCAGAGGAGGAAAACAAAGCAACGGAGAGCUAACUGCCUGGCUAUUCUGGGAUCAAAGCCUCAGGAUUUCUCCAGGUGGAGGAAAGUGUCUGGACGAGAAGCCCGGAACCACAAGAAGAGGCCGAACAUGUGUCCUCGCAUGACCUCUGCCCUGGUCACUGAGAGCACGGAGGCCAGGUGUGCAUGUGGACUCCAGAUGCUUCACUCAGCGAACAAGAUGGAACAAGAUGAAGAAGCCGAUGGCCGAUCUGAGACCAUUGCAGAAGUGCAGGAGCGGGAAGCAAGACCAGGGACUAUGGAACGGGGCUGACUCGGUCAGCAUUCGAGGGGGCAGUAUUGUCAGAGCUUGGCUGUUGAUUGAACGUGGAGUCGAAGAAAAAGAAGAUGAAAUUUGAACCCCAGUUAUGGUUUGGGUGGCUCAGUGAGUGACUGAGUCAGUGGCUAGGAUGGAGAAUAAAGAGCAGGCACAUGACA
rnacentral:lncRNA from 1 species